UUUUUGGCUUCCACAGCAAUCUUGCUUUCCUAAUUCUUCUCAAUUAAUUUUGAUUUGAAAACCUGGCAAUGCACAUUAUGUACACUCUACACUAUUGUCUUUGUGGGGCUGGAAUUCAGUAGGAGUGUCUUCCCAACUGAUACUUGGUAUGCUAUGCUGCUUCUAAAUGACAGCAUCCAUUAUCAACUGGAAUACUGAGGCAUUUUCCACAAUACCAGUUUUCCUCCUUGGAUGAAGCAUUGUGCGUUUGCAUAUCAAAUUAAAUUUAAAUGUAAAUUCUGUGAAUAGAGGUCUUGUUUUUCUAUAGCUAUCCUCUGUGCUAGUCUUUGGGGAUUUUGACCUAUGACUCAAUCACUGUACUGCCUUCUGGUUUUUUAUCAUUGUCCAGAGAAUAACAGAUCUGUGUGAAGCGCACAGCAGAAUCUGAUUCUCAUGUUUUCUUUUAUAUAAUUGCAGAUAAGAGCUUGGAAAGAAAGCGGUUUGAGGCCACGAUGUUGACUGUGAUCCUGUGUGACCUGGGAUGAGACAAGACACUGCGCCUCCAUUUCUUCAGCUGUGAAGGCAGACAUCACCUUGCUGGAGGGUUUUCUAAAUGUGAGGUUUGGAGACAAUGCCUGGCACACAGGAGGCACUCAGUGACCGCUGGGUGUCAGGAUCAUCACCAGUGCUUUUCCUGUUCUCGCCUUCCUCAUGGGGAGGAGGUGCCAGACCCUCUCCUGCAUCCUCCUGCAGGCAGUGGCCAGCGGGUCCUGGAUGAGCUCCUGGAGCUGCUCCUCCCUCUGCAGCUUCCACAGCAGUGAGCAGAUCAGACCCUUGCUGAUGACACCGUGGGCCCCUGCACGACAGGAAAGGGCACUGAGGGUAGACCGGCCACACCCCUCCCAUGCUGGUUGGCCUCAGGGAUCAGGAAGGAUUUUGCAGAGCAACUGGGUGGGUUUGAAAAGAGAACUUGCAAAUUACCCAUCACCCCCCAAAGCUGCCUGGCCAGGGGCCUGAGAAGCCAACAGGAGGCUGUGGGUGAAGCCAUGUCAGGGGCUGAGUGAGAGGACAGGAACAGAGGACCCAGGAAGGGCCAGCCUUUUGCCACUGGCAUCUCAGGGGGCAUCUGCCAUAGCAGGGCACAGUGUCCUGAGAGGCAGCAGCCACCCCCGGGAGAUCCAGCAGCUCACUGCUUCAGGGCCUACGCCCACCAGGAGACCCUCAGGUCUUCCCUACCACUGCCCUAGAAUAGGGGAGCCAACAAAGACCCCCCUUCCCACCCAAAAUAUUUCAAAUGAGUUGGAGACUCACGCCUGGUCAUACCAGCCCCUGAGAAGAGCCUGGGUUCAACUCUUGAGAUGGAAGACCUAGAGUGUAGGUCAGUGUCUCAUACACCAACAAGAACUGUGCCCCAACUAAAGCGAUGGGAAGCCAUAGGCUCUGGCCAAGGGGUCUUGAAAGGACAUCUGGCUCUGUGGGAAGGGGGUCUCCACAUGGCACAGCUGGUGCAGGUACUGGCAGGAGUACAAUGAGGCAAGCCUCCCCCAUAAACAGGCCCCACCUGGCUCCUCCCAGCUGGAGAUGGAAGCCUGGGAGGGAAGUGGUUGGUUCAGCCUGGAAAGCCUGUGGGGCAGGUAAGAGUUGAGAGAUUUUAUGGAAUUUGGAGGCCUAUGGAGGAGAGAAGCCAGAGGGGUGAGGAGGAACAUCAAUCCCUAGAGGGGCCUGGGCAGGCACUAGCUUUCACUAAGGAGUUACUAUUUUGUCCAUCAUGAACUUGUUUCAGUCAAAUUUUCUUCUUUUUUUUUUUUCUGAGGUCAUUUAAUAGAUGCAGUAUACCUAAUUCAUAUGGCUGUAUGAGGAUUUUUAAAACUACUGUAUAUAAUGCAGAAUAUUUUAACAUCUUUUACUUGGUAGCUACUUACAAUCCUUUCCAAAUGUAAAACAUAAAUUAUCAAAAUCUGAGAAUCAGAUUUAGAGAGCCGACAUAAAAUCAUCAGUUAGUGACUAUUAUGACUCAGAGGUGCAUAUUUCUGCUUUUCAUUGGAGACUCAGGGUGCCCUCGCCAUUAGUUCCUUUAGCCUUAACAGCAGAGGUUUUUUUCUUAGGGUCAUUGAGACUGGGCACAUCUCAGAGUUAAUAUUCAUUGAUAAAUUAGUUAAGUAAGAAAUAGAAAAAAGCUGAACUCAUGAGAAAAUUUGAGAAGACAGAGCACAUAAACAGGACUAUAAUUCACAAUAACUUAGGUUUUGCUAGAAAAAGAAUCUCAAAAUCUCAGUGACUUAAUAAAGGUUCAAUUGGGCUACAUAUUUAGAAAGAGUUGAGACACUGCAGAGUGCACAGCAAUCAAAUUCCAACCAAAAAAAAAAAAAAAUUUCCAACCUAAUGGAGUUUGUAUUCCAA